GCAGUGGUGAUCAGAAGAAAAAGGAAAUUUAUAUUAGCGAAAAAAAAUUUUGGGGGUUAGUGGCACUUCCUUUAACAGUCUAAAUGAAGCUAAACGUACUCUCUAACCAUUGCAAUGAUUUUUUAAUUGUCCUGUACAUGUGUGAUGUCAACCUUCAAGUUUGUGCCGGGAUGAAACCUUAGUUAACGACAUGCAGUUGAAUGGUAGUAAGCAGGACGUUCUUGGUUGUUGUUAGAUGUUAUGCAAAUCCAAUACUGAAAGUUAGAAGAUUUCUUAUCACGGGGAGCGAAAACGUUUCUCAUUUGUCUUGAUUUCAGCUCGUUGCUCAUCCAUUCUUCAGAGGCGGUGACGUCCGCGGAUUAAAGAAAUUUAACCCUGGUCCCGUUCGUUUUAGUUCAAAUGUGAAGCAGCUCCUCAAACUAUGAAGGAAAGAUGGCGAAGAAGGACAGAGGAAACGGAAAAUGUCCACAAAGAAAUCGACAUCUGAUGAUGGUACAGUACCUACAAGAGAGGGAAGUCAAUCGAAAUCAAAAGGAAAACGAUUGUCAGUGGACAAAACUGUUCUUCCAGUAGUUCAGUUCCACCCCGUGGCAGCCGCCCCUCCUCCCAAAUAUCCACCCCCUCUCCCCAAGGAAGCCCCGCCACCUCCGCGGACAAAACGUGCAUCGGUAUCCAAACCUCUUCCGCCGAAACCGCCCAACAGUGCUGGUCGAGGAGCACUGUUGAGUCAGAUUCAAAAAGGCGCUAGGCUUAAACCAACCAAGACAAACGAUAGAAGUGCCCCACGGGUGUGAAUGAGAGGUCAAUGUCAGAUGACAGCGAGUUAGCUGUGUGGAGUUUGCUUCGUUGUGCAACGCAACUGUGACGAGUUUACUUUUUCUUGAAAUACGACUGUUUAUCUACAUGUACACGUAAAAUCUGCCAUAUUGAACAACAUGGCGGCAGCUGACGUGUUGGAAUUAAGAACAAAAUGAUUAUCUAGAUUAUAUCUGAAGAAUGAUCAUGGAAAAGGGAUUUUAAAUAUGAUAACAAACUUCCUCCAUGGAUGGCUCAUGUUGAAAAAUCGAGCAUGACUAAUCCGAGUUUGUGGUUUGUUAUCGUCUUAAUCUUAAGCCUGUUCUUCCUUUGUGGUGGGUUACUGUCUCAGUUAUUUUCUACUUUAAAUUGGUAGACUUGAAAUAAUAUAUACAUUUAGGUAAUGUUACGUGCUUUUGUCAUCAACUAUUGGUAACACGAGGCAGAGCAAGACGCAGUGCACGAAUCUUCAUUUCACUGUAGAGAUUAGGUACAGAGCUACAAAGAGUGAAGAAAACAUGGUGCAUGUGAAAAAUAGAUAGGAUUAAAACUUUGUCAUAACAGAGGAAAGUUUAAUUUAGUCUACAGAUAUUUCUCCGCUUUUUUAAACGAGCAUAUAAAAAGAGCUUUUUAUUCGCUGAAACACUCACUAUAUGAAUUGGAAUUUGAUACUAGCAAAGACAUAAUUAUAUUGCUGGCUGCAUUUUCAGUAGCGACGCUAAACUAAUUCAGAAUUUGUUCUGUACUUUACAAUGGGCCAAAGCAUGAUAAUUUAGAGUUGCGACAAAGAAACUUGAAGGUGAUUUUGUAAAAGACGAUACUUGUAGAAACAAUGCACUGAAGCUUGAAAAAGAAGAGGAGAGAUGAAGAUUAGUUUUUAUAGAAGAUAUUUAUUUAGAUAGGUCGAAGCUAUAGCGCUAUUUAAUUAAGUGAAACAAGCAAAAUUAACUUCAAAAAAUAGAAAUAUAUUUUUUCAAUAUAAUAUGAAAAAUAUGGCAUGUCAGUGUCAAAUGAGUAAUAUAAACUGCUCAAUAUGCGUUAGGUUUGAACUUCUCUGUAAUAUUAGCAUUAGUUCUUUAAUAUUACUUCAAAAAGAUUGCCUGAUAAAUUCACGCUUCUUAGGAUAGAGUGCGCAAUGCAACAGACUCUUAAUAAAACAAAAUUACAAAUCGUUCGCCAGUGUGUCAAUUUGAAGAAGUUAUUCCACGCUCUUUACGCAUGUCAAUCGUACUUCGUGCUUAAUUUUCGUUUUAUAAAAUUAUAGAAAAUUGUUAUUUUUGUAAUUGAUCUGUUCGUGAAAUCUUUAGUUACCAGUUUCCAAACUCGAGUGGAUGCCCUGGCCCUCUUCACUUUUGCGGACUAUCUUGGCUAAAUUAUGAAAACUUAAAACAGGUUUUGAGUUAAACAUACCGUCAAGAACCGACUAGUUUUAAGCAUGACACAGCUAGCCCCAAAUUACUCACCUGAAGCCAUGAGGCACGAAGACACGGAAAAUGGAUAAUCUGUGUUACCAAAUUCACACCGAGAGGAGUGGUGCCGGAGGGCUUUUAACGGUCGCCGCAACUCUUUGAAUCUAUAACUUUUAAGCCCUGUAAACCUACAAAAUAACCUUACCAUCAAAUUGAGUAAAACUUUCCGAAAAUCGAAUUAACCGGGUUGUUUCCAAUUAAUCAAUUAUAGUUAUGAAUGUCAAGAAUUUUCAUUUCCGUGAAAUUUUAACCGCACGAUAUUGAAAGCUAGCUUUUGGCGAAAUCGAAACUUCGUGAAAACAGUAGUGGGAGAUUUAAACGUCAUGUAGAUUAAAACGUGAAUGGGGUAGAUCUUGUUCACAAAUUCUGGUGAAUCCUUUUUAAAGUAAUUAUUGACGAUGAAUCCGCUUUUUAGCAUGGCCAUGAGAAAUAGGUUUUAUAUAUUUUGACUUUAUUACUCGAUUUUAAUCUCCAUAAGUACGUAUUUUCAACUAAACGCCCGCGGACUUUUUCAAAGCUAUAAUAAAAUCAAUCUGUAGACUGUAGUACACGUAAUAUCAAGGUGUUGAAAUGAAAGCUGCGCUGUUUGUACCGAAAAUAGAAAGUUAGAAGAAUCUUUUUGCAUAAUGUGCUUACGGCUGCGUUGUCGUUAGAAUCGUCAAAGAGCUUUACCGGAACCUAGCUAGUCAGUAUUUCCAGUAUGUUAAAAGCAACAUGUACGAACACAAUAGUGCUUUCAUGCCGUCAGUCAGAUUCUCACAUCUUUUUUAAUUGUUCAUUUCGUCUUAGCCACUCCUAUUCAAAUCUGAUGUUCACGCCAAAUUCAAAAUGACAGGAUCUUCGUCAAAUCGCUUAUCUCUGAAUCCCCAGAUGUACUCAUUCAUUAUCCAAUGUCGCACAAAUGUAAAUAUCUAGUUGGCAUAUGAAUAUUCGAAUUUGGAAAUAUCCGGAAACACAACUGCCUCAGGUGUCUUAAGCGUCGAGCACUCGGUAACAUUUCGAAAAACUGAGCUUCGAGAAAGGUGUUUUGAAAAGGGUUCAAUUUGAGGGUCGGCUUUUGAGGCAGAGGAAGCUGCCAGCUGUCACACACUUGUUUGGGAUCGGCGUUGAAAGUUGUUUUUCUUCAUGUCCUUGGUGAACAAGAAACGCUAAGAGUUUUCUUUUAAUGGCAUCCAUACGAGCUAGACUCAAACAAAAUCAUCUUGAAAUACUGAUUUUAAUCGUUUUAAGUCAACUCGUUACCCUGUUCUCUUCGACUCCUUCCACAACUUCGUCACCUCAAGCCACAAAAUGUGCGGAAAUUUUAUCCAAAAACUUGACUGACGCUGUUACUACCACCCGCCAAAGGAAACAGAAUUUCAGCACAUUGGAGAUUUCGCAAACAUCCUCUAGUGCGACAGUAAUGUGUCCAUCAAUUGCGGUGGAAAAUCGCAGAAAUGCGAACGACACGUACUUGAAGAAACAUGGAUGCUCCCGUGAACGACAAGAAGACUGUCCAAGAUAUGUCGAUAAAUAUUCCUCAUUUUAUCUUAAGAUUGGUGGCUGGUUAAUGCUGGGCAUCGUUUUGGCGGGAAUCACAGCUCUAGGCGUCACGCACUACCUAGGGAUGAAGAACAUGCGUCGUCCAAGGAGAAGACAACUGUCACGUAUUCUGUGGGUUGAAGCUCUCACAAAGUCGAAAUUGGCCAGAUUCGUGUGACCAAACUGGUGUUUAGCAAAGCGGAAAAAGUGGAAAAACCUUAAAAAGCUUAUCGACGUGGCAGAGAUCGCAAGUUUUCUGAAAACCAAACAUCAAAAACGUGCUAAUGGCGAUUUAAUCUGAAAAAAAGACACAUUACGAAUCUCAACGAGCAAAAACACUGUCCCUCAAUUUGUAUUGAUUUUAGGUCUGAACGUGACUCAGAUUGAAAUAAAAUAUUAUAAAGCGAG